rnacentral:rRNA from 1 species
ACACCACAACAGGUGGAGCCUGCGGUUUAAUCGGACUCAACGCCGGGAAGCUCACCGGAUAAGACAGCGGAAUGAUAGCCGGGCUGAAGACUCUGCUUGACUAGCUGAGAGGAGGUGCAUGGCCGUCGUCAGUUCGUACUGUGAAGCAUCCUGUUAAGUCAGGCAACGAGCGAGACCCACGCCAACAGUUGCCAGCAUGUCCUCCGGGAUGGUGGGGACACUGUUGGGACCGCCUCUGCUAAAGAGGAGGAAGGAAUGGGCAACGGUAGGUCAGCAUGCCCCGAAUUAUCCGGGCUACACGCGGGCUACAAUGGUCAGGACAAUGGGCAUCAACACCGAAAGGUGAAGGCAAUCUCUUAAACCUGUCCUUAGUUCGGAUUGGAGUCUGCAACUCGACUCCAUGAAGCUGGAAUCGCUAGUAAUCGCGGAUCAGCAUGCCGCGGUGAAUACGUUCCCGGGCCUU